UACGUAGGAUGCGAGCGUUGUCCGGAAUCACUGGGUGUAAAGGGAGCGCAGGCGGGUCGGUAAGUCAGUGGUGAAAUUCUCAGGCUUAACCUGGGGACUGCCACUGAUACUGCUGAUCUUGAGUACAGAAGAGGUGGAUGGAAUUCUUGGUGUAGCGGUGAAAUGCGUAGAUAUCAAGAAGAACACCGAUGGCGAAGGCAGUUCACUGGUCUGUUACUGACGCUCAUGCUCGAAAGCGUGGGGAGCAAACAGG
rnacentral:rRNA from 1 species